UACAGAGGUCCCAAGCGUUGUUCGGAUUCAUUGGGCGUAAAGGGUGCGUAGGCGGCGCGGUAAGUCGGGUGUGAAAUCUCGGAGCUUAACUCCGAAACUGCAUUCGAUACUGCCGUGCUUGAGGACUGGAGAGGAGACUGGAAUUUACGGUGUAGCGGUGAAAUGCGUAGAUAUCGUAAGGAAGACCAGUGGCGAAGGCGGGUCUCUGGACAGUUCCUGACGCUGAGGCGCGAAAGCUAGGGGAGCAAACGGG
rnacentral:rRNA from 1 species